rnacentral:misc_RNA from 1 species
GUCUUGAACAUAUGGUUAAAAUUUAGAAUUUAUCUGACAGUUAAAAUAUUUUAUAUAAAUUUGAAUGUUCAUAUUGCUAAAUUGGGUAUUAAGAAUGGGGUAAAGUUAAAUAAGUUAUUUUGAUGGAACAAAAUUUAUUUUGAGAUGGAUAUGGUUUUUGGUAAAUUUAAAUUAUUGUGGAUUAUUUUGAGAAAUAAAUAUGUGUUUUAAUUGGAUUUGUGGUAAUAUGGAUAUGUUGUGGAAUAUUUUAAUUGAGAAUUGAAUAUGAAGUGUUGAAAUUAA